rnacentral:siRNA from 1 species
AUCGACGAACCGAUCGGCCGUGUC